UAGCGUAUAUUAAAGUUGUUGCGGUAAAAAAGCUCGUAGUUGGAUUUCUGUUGAGGGCGACCGGUCCACACAAUGUGUGCGCAUCUGGUUCGGCCUCGGCAUCCUCUCGAUAGACGUUCCUGCGCUUGAUUGCGUGGGGCGGAUCUCGGGACUUUUACUUUGAGGAAAUUAGAGUGUUCACGGCAGGCCAUCGCCAGAAUACGUUAGCAUGGAAUAAUACUAUAGGAUCUCGGUUCUAUUUUGUUGGUUUCUAGAAUUGAGGUAAUGAUUAAUAGGGACAAUUGGGGGCAUUCGUAUCAACGCGUC
rnacentral:rRNA from 1 species